CCGCGUCUGAUUAGCUAGUUGGUAGUGUCAGAGACUACCAAGGCGUACGAUCAGUAGCGUGGUCUGAGAGGAUGAUCAGCCACACUGGGACUGAGACACGGCCCAGACUCCUACGGGAGGCAGCAGUGGGGAAUUUUCCGCAA
rnacentral:rRNA from 1 species